AGGAACAAUUUAUCAACCAUGACCAUGUAACAACUAGCAGUUAUCUGUUAUAAAAGUACAAAUCAUCUCCCUCUCAAUCAGUUACAAUGUUUCCUUUGCGGCUACUACUUGUUUUAUCGGUGGCCAGUUAUGGCUCAUGCAUUCCCCAGCCAUACGACUCAAUAGUGGUAGGAAUGGGGUCCGCUGGGGUAACGGCAGCCACAAUAUUGGCCAAAGCUGGCAAGAGAGUGCUGGGCUUAGAUGCAAUGGAUCGAAUUGGUGGAAGAGUGAAAACAGUUCAAUUUGGGGGAGGUAUUGUUGAAGAAGGAGCUGAAUGGAUUCACGGAACACAAAACAGCCGCGUAUAUGAUUUAGCUGUACAGAAUAAUAUUACAGUUAUACCUCAAGACUUCGAUUUUCUUAUUUUCCGCUCAGAUGGGAACCAGACAUUGAUGCCAGUUUAUUACGAACUUUUUAAUCUCUGCUUUGAAAAGUCUGUAAAUACAAGUGAUGUAUCCUUUGAGAGUACUGCUGAUUAUUUGACGGCUGAAAUAAUAUCCUAUAUUAAAAAGAACUACCCACACUUGGAACAUGACAAGCAAUUCAUAGAUGAAUUUUUGGAUGUCAUGAAUCUCUUCAUAAGUGCAUAUGAAGCGUCAUAUGACUGGCAUGACGUCACGACAAGGUCAACAGCUGAAGAACUUGGCGGAGAUUUGCAUAUGAGCUGGCAUAAGUUUGGAUAUAAAACCUUUUUCGAGUUGAUGCUAAACACAUAUAACAAUGGACCAGGCCUACAAAAUUUGGACAUAAAAUUAAAUACGGAAGUGACUAAAAUCAUAUGGCCAAAAGACACAUCCGGUGAGGUUAAAGUUGUUUGUGCAGAUGGACAAACAUACACAGCAAACAAUGCUAUAGUAACCGUUUCAUUAGGAGUGCUGAAAGAGAGAUACAACACUCUAUUUUCACCAGAAUUGCCAGACGACAAAAUUACAUCGAUACAAAAAAUGUCGAUUGGUGUACUCGAUAAGGUUAUUUUGAAUUUUCCCCACAAGUGGUGGGAUCAGAACAAGGUUUACGUAAUGAUCGAGGCUGAUAAAUCCAAUGAUCUAUGGUUUACGAGACAUGGGGAUGUUUCGACGCCUCUUGCUCUAGACACAGCCUUGACUAUAUGGUUGGCGGGUGAAGCCGCUAAGACGAUACGUCACUUUUCAUCCUCCUCUACCCAAAGACAAAAUCAUGGCCAUAGAUAAAAUUGCAUUUGGGGUUGUCAAUAAAAUAAUCCUUAUAUUUGAUGAAGUUUGGUGGCCCAAUCGUUUGUAUUUUCCAUGCUUAUGGUAUACUGAAGAUAAAAUAAAUUUAUCGGAAUGUGAUCUGUGGUUGUCCCAAAUACGUGGGCCAAGUACAUCUUUAGCUUGCAAAAACUCGCUUACUCUAUGGACAACUGGUUAUGCUGGCAAAAGGGCAGAGACAUUGACAGAUGAAAUAGUUCAACAAAAAUCCAUGGAGUUCCUAAGACGCUUCAUGGGCAAGAACUACACUAUACCGGAACCGAAUGGAAUUCUGAG